rnacentral:rRNA from 1 species
GAUGAACGCUGGCGGCGUGCUUAACACAUGCAAGUCGAACGGAAAGGCCUCUGCUUGCAGGGGUACUCGAGUGGCGAACGGGUGAGUAACACGUGGGUGAUCUGCCCUGCACUUCGGGAUAAGCCUUGGAAACUGGGUCUAAUACCGGAUAGGACAAUGUUUUGGAUGCUGUUGUGGAAAGUUUUUCGGUGUGGGUUGAGCUCGCGGCCUAUCAGCUUUUUGGUGGGGUAGUGGCGUAGCAAGGCGUCUAGGGGUAGCCGGCCUGUGAGGGGGUAGGGGCACACUGGGACUGGGAGACAGGCCAGAGUCGUACGGGGGGCAGAAGUGGGGAAUAUUGCACAAAGGGCGCAAGCGUGAGGCAGCGACGCGGCGUGGGGGAUGAAGGCCUUUGGGUGGUAAAAACCUUUCGCUAGGGACGAAGAGUUUUUGUGACGGUACCUGGAGAAGAAGCACCGGCUAACUACGUG